ensembl:snRNA U6 U6 spliceosomal RNA
GUGCUUGCUCUCGAAGUACAUAUAUUAAAAUUGGAAUGAUACAGAGAAGUUAGCAUGACCCCUGCAAAGGAUGUCAUGCAAAUUUGUGGACCAUUCCAUAUUUUA